CCUACCCCUAGAGGUAUUGCAGGUGUAGCUGCUGUGUCACAUGUACAUCAGUAGGUGGCGGAGAGGAGAGAGGCUCUGUCUACACUCCGUGUUCCGACCUGUGAACAUCUGAAGGAUUAGUAGCCUAACACU